rnacentral:rRNA from 1 species
UACGGAGGAUUCGAGCGUUAUCCGGAUUUAUUGGGUUUAAAGGGAGCGUAGGCGGGUUGUUAAGUCAGUUGUGAAAGUUUGCGGCUCAACCGUAAAAUUGCAGUUGAUACUGGCAUCCUUGAGUACAGUAGAGGUAGGCGGAAUUCGUGGUGUAGCGGUGAAAUGCUUAGAUAUCACGAAGAGCUCCGAUUGCGAAGGCAGCCUGCUGGACUGUAACUGACGCUGAUGCUCGAAAGUGUGGGUAUCAAACAGG